UUGCGGCCGCAGGGAGCUGGGGUGCCUCGGUCGGCCUGACCCCUUCUCUCCCGCAGCCUGGAGGAGGGCCGCCUGACGGCUGAGUUGCCAUGGCAUCCUACUACGAGAUUCUAGACGUACCGCGGAGUGCGUCCCCUGAUGACAUCAAGAAGGCGUACCGAAAGAAGGCUCUGCAGUGGCACCCAGACAAGAACCCGGAUAAUAAAGAGUUUGCUGAGAAAAAAUUUAAGGAGGUGGCAGAGGCCUAUGAAGUACUGUCUGACAGUAAGGCUUGGGGUCCUGCAGGGACCAGCAUGUCCCCCUGCUUCCAUUCACUCUUCAUACUCCUUCCUAAAGCCAAGCCUCCAUCCCACCUCCUCCAUGAUUUUUAUCUAAGGCAGCAUUUAAUUGCCUCUUCCUACAGGGCAAGUCAUGCCUGUCUCCCAGAUCCUGGAAAGCACUUGGGGUCCUGGUCAGAAAAGGCUACAGCUUUCCUGCCAGGCAGGCUUAUCACCCCCAUUUUAUAGGCUGGUAAACUGAGACUGAGAGAAAUGAGAUAAUUUGCCCAUUUCUUGAGCUAGAAUAUGAGUCUAGG
rnacentral:lncRNA from 1 species